rnacentral:rRNA from 1 species
UACGAAGGGGGCUAGCGUUGCUCGGAAUCACUGGGCGUAAAGCGCACGUAGGCGGCUUUUUAAGUCAGGGGUGAAAUCCUGGAGCUCAACUCCAGAACUGCCUUUGAUACUGGGAGCUCGAGUCCGGGAGAGGUGAGUGGAACUCCGAGUGUAGAGGUGAAAUUCGUAGAUAUUCGGAAGAACACCAGUGGCGAAGGCGGCUCACUGGCCCGGUACUGACGCUGAGGCGCGAAAGCGUGGGGAGCAAACAGG